UUACGGCCAUAUUUGUGUUGAAACUCUGGUUCCCGUACGAUCACCAAAUUUAAGCGACGGCAAACUUGGUCAGUAAUUAGAUGGGUGACUUCUCGGGAACACCAGGUGCUGUAA